rnacentral:tRNA from 1 species
ACGUUCCUAGUUUAAUGAGAAUUCUAGUUUGUCGUACUUGGGGUGGCUUAGGUCGGAAUGUG